UUUCCGUAGGUGAACCUGCGGAAGGAUCAUUAAAGUUAUAGUCCCCCGGCCCCUCCGGGCUGGGGUCUUCUAUACCACCCUUUGUUUAUUACACCUUUGUUGCUUUGGCAGGCCUGCCCUCGGGCUGCUGGCUCCGGCCGGCUCGUGCCUGCCAGAGGACCUAAACUCUGUUUGUAUAUGAAGUCUGAGUACUAUAUAAUAGUUAAAACUUUCAACAACGGAUCUCUUGGUUCUGGCAUCGAUGAGAACGCAGC
rnacentral:misc_RNA from 1 species